AACGCACAUUGCGCCCAUUAGUAUUCUAGUGGGCAUGCCUAUUCGAGCGUCAUUUCGACCCCUAAGCCCCUGUUGCUUAGCGUUGGGAAUCUACGGCGUAGUUCCUUAAAGCCAGUGGCGGAGUUAGGGUACACUCUCAGCGUAGUAAUAUCUCUCGCUCGUGUGGUGGCCCUGGCUGCUAGCCGUUAAAACCCCUAUAUUUUUUAGUGGUUGACCUCGAAUUAGGUAAGAAUACCCGCUGAACUUAA
rnacentral:misc_RNA from 1 species